rnacentral:rRNA from 1 species
GCCCAAGCGACUGUUUACCAAAAACAUAGGUUUCUGCUAAGUCGCAAGACGAUGUAUAGGAGCUGACGCCUGCCCGGUGCUGGAAGGUUAAGGGGAUCUGUUAGAGCAAUCGAAGCAGUGAACUUAAGCCCCAGUAAACGGCGGCCGUAACUAUAACGGUCCUAAGGUAGCGAAAUUCCUUGUCGGGUAAGUUCCGACCCGCACGAAAGGCGUAACGAUUUGGGCACUGUCUCAACAACAGACUCGGUGAAAUUGUAAUUCCGGUGAAGAUGCCGGAUACCUGCGACAGGACGGAAAGACCCCAUGGAGCUUUACUGUAGCUUGACAUUGGGUCUUGGUACUACAUGUACAGGAUAGGUGGGAGGCUUUGAAACCAGGACGCCAGUUUUGGCGGAGCCAUCCUUGGGAUACCACCCUUGUAGUACUGGGACUCUAACCAUAGGCCAUGAAUCUGGUCUUGGGACACUGUCAGGUGGGCAGUUUGACUGGGGCGGUCGCCUCCCAAAAGGUAACGGAGGCGCUCAAAGGUUCUCUCAGUACGGUCGGAAAUCGUACGUAGAGUGUAAAGGCAAAAGAGAGCUUGAUUGCAAGACAUACAGGUCGAGCAAGGAUGAAAAUCGGACUUAGUGAUCCGGUGGUUCUGCGUGGAAGGGCCAUCGCUCAACGGAUAAAAGCUACCCUGGGGAUAACAGGCUUAUCUCCCCCAAGAGUCCACAUCGACGGGGAGGUUUGGCACCUCGAUGUCGGCUCAUCACAUCCUGGGGCUGUAGUAGGUCCCAAGGGUUGGGCUGUUCGCCCAUUAAAGUGGUACGCGAGCUGGGUUCAGAACGUCGUGAGACAGUUCGGUCCCUAUCCGUCGCAGGCGUAGGAAAUUUGAGAAGACCUGUCCUUAGUACGAGAGGACCGGGAUGGACG